rnacentral:misc_RNA from 1 species
GCGGUACAAAGUAAACCUCUUCCGUCUUCAUGCUUUUUUAGAGCAUGUGCCUGCUGUUUUUCCGGAGCUGGUGGAACAGAAGAUUAGUGAAGUAGCCUUUCUUACUGGACAACCGUUAGGUUACUACGGUUCAUGGUCACUGUUCUCGCUGUCAGUAUUUCUUAUGAAUAGUAGGGCACUGAGAGAGAACUUCAAAUCAGGGAAGAGGGUUCUAUUCCGUUUCAGGCACCUUUGUAUGAAACUUCCGCUUCCUUCCUAGGUAUAUUCCUACCCUACCUAUCGAAAUGAAAAAGAAGUCCCCUUUACCAGGCUUAGCACGAAAUCAGCCGGAUCUAGAAUGUAUUGCUAAGGAUCUCUCCCCUGGAGGAUUUCCCCCAUCCUUUCCCCCCCGUGUCUCUCCUCCAGCAUUUCUGUGAGGCGCUCGGCUUGAAAACCCCCCGGAACGCGUGUGUGGAGUUCCCGGUGAAUCUCUUCACCGGUCGGUCAGUUAUGGAAGACUCUGCGAUGUAUAUAGCUGGUUUACAGCUUCAAAAAAAAAAACAUGC